CUCGCGGCUGGGCAGACGCAGGUCCUCCUCGGGGGGCUGCUUGAAGAAGCAGGUGAGGAGCCGGCCCAGCUCGCCGCGGAUCUGCCGGUUGAGGCACCCGUAGAAGAAAGGGUUGGAGGUAAAGCAGAAGUAACCCAGCCAGGUGACCACGGUCUCGGCCGCCGGCCCGGCCAAGGGUUGGGCGCUGAGGGCCGUGUAGAGGUGAAAGGAGAAGUAGGGCAACCAGCAGAAAAGGAACUGGCCGCCCACGGCCAGCAGGAUGGCGGCCGCUUUGCCCCCACCGAACGUCCUCUGCGGGGUGGUGCGGGGGGCACCCGAGCUCGUCACCAUGGUGGAGCGGCUGCUGAGCGACUCGGAGCGCCGGCGCGGGGUCUCCAUCCAGGUGGGCAGCGGGCCGUGGUGCAUGGCGGCCACCCGAGCCACCUUGAACAUGCUGCAAUAAACCACCACGAUGAUGAGGAGGGGCAGGAGGAAGUAGAAAGUGGCGAAGAAGACCACGAAGAACUUGCAGUACGGACCGCGGCUCCAUUGCAGGGAGCAGCCGGGAGGGCGGUCGGGGGACAACCAGCCCAGCACGGGGACCAGCGACGUGGCCACGGCCUUCAGCCAGACGCCCACCAGCACGCAGACCACCAACCCCACCGUCAUCCGCACCUCGUAGCGCAUGGGGUGCACGACGUAGUAAUAGCGCUCCACGUUGAUGGUGGAGAUGGAGAGGAUGCACAUGCUGAUGAAGCAGACGCUGAGGAACAGGUAGACGCGGCACAUGGCCUCGCCCAGCACAGGGCUGUCAAACACAGCCGAACCCGACAGCAUCUCCAACGGCAUCAGGGUGAGGGCUGCCAGGAAAUCCACCAGGCAGAGAUGGAAGACGAAGACGAACUUGCGCAGCGCCGGCGUCUUCACGAUGACGGUCAUCACGGCCGCGUUGCCCACGAUGGCCGUCAGGUCGAUGAGCAGCAUGAAGAAAAGCCCCACCGAUUUGGAAGCCACGUCUUUGGGUUUGCUGUCGGCUGUGCCGUUGGGGGGCAUGGGGUCUGGAGAAGGCUGGAGCGCCCGCGCUGCCCUAGAGCCGUUCCAGCCCCAUUGGGCGGGCAGGGAGGGCUCCAUGCUGUGGCCCAUCGCCCAUCCUUGGGGCUGACAGUGCGGGGCUGUGGGGCAUCGUUGGGUGCUCCGAUGGCCCUAUGGCCGCUGCUGCCCCGCUGCGGGGUGGGUCCUGAGGUGCUCAGCGCACCCAGGGGUGCCCCCAAGCACCACUCAGCUCCCUGCUCCUCUCCACCGGGCAGAGCUGUGGGGCUGCGGGGAAGGGGAGCCGUCAGCGGGGGGCACAAUGGGGACACUGGG
rnacentral:lncRNA from 1 species